AGCAGCCGCGGUAAUCCCAGCUCCAAUAGCGUAUAUUAAAGUUGUUGCAGUUAAAAAGCUCGUAGUUGAACUUCGGGGUUCACCCAUUGGUCAGGCUUAAUUGUCUGUACUAGUGAGAUGAGUCUCUACCUUCUGAGGAACUUUCAUGUCAUUAAUUUGGUGUGAUGGGAAAUCAGGACUGUUACUUUGAAAAAUUAGAGUGUUUAAAGCAGGCUAACGUCUGAAUACAUUAGCAUGGAAUAAUGAAAUAGGACGGACUGAUUCUAUUUCGUUGGUUUCUAGGAUCACCGUAAUGAUUAAUAGGGAUAGUUGGGGCAUUAGUAUUCAAUUGUCAGAGGUGAAAUUCUUGGAUUUAUUGAAGACUAACUUACUGC
rnacentral:rRNA from 1 species